UUAAGGUCAGUGAGUGGGUUGAAUGUUUGGGUUCAAUUUUGCAUUUUAAUGUCAAAAUGGGCUUGCUAAUUUGGUGGUUAGUAGUGUGUUAGUGUAUCUCUGGGUCUCGUGUUCGAAUCCCUUUGAGUGUUUUUUAUAUUUAUUUGUUUUUAUGUUGUUCCUUUGAGUGUUUUUUAUAUUUAUUUGUUUUUAUGUUGUUUUAUUUUAUUUUUUAAAAGGGGAACUUAACUUUAAAAUAGAAAAUAAGUUUACGUUCUUGAUUUUUUACUUUUUCUUUUUCUUCCCCAACGUUCCUUUUUCUAUUCUUUCCAAUUCCAAU
rnacentral:lncRNA from 1 species